rnacentral:rRNA from 1 species
UACGUAGGGUGCAAGCGUUAAUCGGAAUUACUGGGCGUAAAGCGUGCGCAGGCGGUUGUGCAAGACAGAUGUGAAAUCCCCGGGCUUAACCGUGGGAACUGCAUUUGUGACUGCACGGCUAGAGUGUGUCAGAGGGGGGUAGAAUUCCACGUGUAGCAGUGAAAUGCGUAGAUAUGUGGAGGAAUACCGAUGGCGAAGGCAGCCCCCUGGAAUAACACUGACGCUCAUGCACGAAAGCGUGGGGAGCAAACAGG